rnacentral:rRNA from 1 species
AUUGAACGCUGGCGGCAGGCCUAACACAUGCAAGUCGAACGGUAACAGGAAACAGCUUGCUGUUUCGCUGACGAGUGGCGGACGGGUGAGUAAUGUCUGGGAAACUGCCUGAUGGAGGGGGAGAACUACUGGAAACGGUAGCUAAUACCGCAUAACGUCGCAAGACCAAAGAGGGGGACCUUCGGGCCUCUUGCCAGCGGAUGUGCCCAGAUGGGAUUAGCUAGUAGGUGGGGUAACGGCUCACCUAGGCGACGAUCCCUAGCUGGUCUGAGAGGAUGACCAGCCACACUGGAACUGAGACACGGUCCAGACUCCUACGGGAGGCAGCAGUGGGGAAUAUUGCACAAUGGGCGCAAGCCUGAUGCAGCCAUGCCGCGUGUAUGAAGAAGGCCUUCGGGUUGUAAAGUACUUUCAGCGGGGAUGAAGGGAGUAAAGUUAAUACCUUUGCUCAUUGACGUUACCCGCAGAAGAAGCACCGGCUAACUCCGUG